UCUUAAGGAUGAGCAAAGAAAGUGGUUUCUUAAGAUUGAAUCAACUGCUGGUGAAGAUGCUGUAAA
rnacentral:pre_miRNA from 3 species